UACGAGUAGCAGUCUUGGAAAACUAAACCAAAAAACAAUGUAAGUGAGACACUAUGAAAACCUCAGAGGAUGAUAGUUCAAGACAACAAUAUCCAUAUUACAGGUCAUAACACAGCGACGAGGCAAUCAAUACUCUGAAAUUAAGUAACUAAAGCCAAACAAAGUCCAAAAUAUUGGUAUAAGUCACACGAAGGUUCAUACCAUAAAGCUGUCAUCAGUGAAGA